rnacentral:rRNA from 1 species
UACGAAGGGGGCUAGCGUUGUUCGGAAUUACUGGGCGUAAAGGGCGCGUAGGCGGUACUUCAAGUCAGGCGUGAAAGCCCCGGGCUCAACCUGGGAACCGCGCUUGAGACUGGAGAACUAGAGUUCGGGAGAGGAUGGUGGAAUUCCCAGUGUAGAGGUGAAAUUCGUAGAUAUCAGGAGGAACACCAGUGGCGAAGGCGGCUUCCUGGACACCAACUGACGCUGAGACGCGAAAGCGUGGGGAGCAAACAGG